CUUGUGACAUUUGUUGUUUAUAGAUUUUCCGCACACAGCAGAUGUCUAGACCCUGGACAGAUAACAGAUGGUAUGGCCUCUGAGGACCCCUAAAACCAACUGGAUGAGGCUAUUAAAAAGGCAGAACGCUGAGGAGCUCAACCAAGAGAAGGACCCACAAGCCUAAAUGGACGAGGCCAUUAAUGAGGCAAAAAGGCUGGCUGAGGAGCUCAACCCAGAACCGCUCCAAGGGCAUAUCAAGAGCCAGACUAGUGCAACCUUCUGGGCCAGUCACCGAGGAGGAAGAAUCAGAGACGAGGACCAGUGGAUUGGAAUCCACUCCAGUUUUAAACAUUGAUGAAGAAAUAGAUUGUUUCUUACCAUUGGACGUACCAGAGGUGAUAUGUGGUUGCCUGACAAGCACCAUCCAUGUUGGCCCUGGGAAACAUAUAAUCCUCGUAGGAAUAAAUGAUAUGUGCAAUAUCGACAAGAACCAAAUAGUGAUGUAGCAAUGCAAUGUAAAACAACAUUAAUUCAGACUACAUUUUUUUCCUCUAGGUUGCUACAAUGUCACAGUGCCUGUGCUGACCUGGACAGGAAACUUGGCAGAUCCUGAUAAAGAAUGGGUACUGGCCUGCCACUGUCAACUGUGACACCAUAUACCAGAUAGAUCUGUUCAGCUCUUUUGAGGAGCUGAAAGUGUCAGCUCCAGGAAUGUCCCGUCUGUCGUUUAUGUGGAUUUGKCAGGAACGGAAUGAUCUGUGGGGACACUUUUCAAAAAAGCUUCUUUGAGUGGACGUACUGCCGCUCUGAAAUUGAUCAGGUCUGUGAUAUACAGUAMUUUGACUGCCCAGCCUGU